rnacentral:rRNA from 1 species
GCUUACGGCCAUACCACCCUGAACACGCCCGAUCUCGUCCGAUCUCGGAAGCUAAGCAGUCGGCCUGGUUAGUACUUGGAUGGGAGACCGCCUGGGAAUACCAGCUGUAACUU